rnacentral:rRNA from 1 species
CAGAMCGAACGCUGGCGGCAGGCCUAACACAUGCAAGUCGAACGGAUCCUUCGGGAUUAGUGGCAGACGGGUGAGUAACGCGUGGGAAGCUACCUUGUGGUAGGGAACAACAGUUGGAACGACUGCUAAUACCCUAUGAGCCCCUAUGGGGGAAAGAUUUAUCGCCAUGAGAUGUGCCCGCGUUAGAUUAGCUAGUUGGUAAGGUAAUGGCUUACCAAGGCGACGAUCUAUAGCUGGUCUGAGAGGAUGAUCAGCCACACUGGGACUGAGACACGGCCCAGACUCCUACGGGAGGCAGCAGUGGGGAAUAUUGGACAAUGGGGGCAACCCUGAUCCAGCCAUGCCGCGUGAGUGAUGACGGCCUUAGGGUUGUAAAGCUCUUUCAGCAGUGAAGAUAAUGACAUUAACUGCAGAAGAAGCCCCGGCUAACUUCGUGCCAGCAGCCGCGGUAAUACGAAGGGGGCUAGCGUUGUUCGGAAUCACUGGGCGUAAAGCGUACGUAGGCGGACUGAUCAGUCAGGGGUGAAAUCCCGGGGCUCAACCCCGGAACUGCCUUUGAUACUGUCAGUCUUGAGAUCGAGAGAGGUGAGUGGAACUCCGAGUGUAGAGGUGAAAUUCGUAGAUAUUCGGAAGAACACCAGUGGCGAAGGCGGCUCACUGGCUCGAAUACUGACG